rnacentral:rRNA from 1 species
CGUGAACCUUUACUAUAGCUUGACACUGAACAUUGAGCCUUGAUGUGUAGGAUAGGUGGGAGGCUUUGAAGCGUGGACGCCAGUCUGCGUGGAGCCGACCUUGAAAUACCACCCUUUAAUGUUUGAUGUUCUAACGUGGACCCGUAAUCCGGGUUGCGGACAGUGUCUGGUGGGUAGUUUGACUGGGGCGGUCUCCUCCUAAAGAGUAACGGAGGAGCACGAAGGUUGGCUAAUCCUGGUCGGACAUCAGGAGGUUAGUGCAAUGGCAUAAGCCAGCUUGACUGCGAGCGUGACGGCGCGAGCAGGUGCGAAAGCAGGUCAUAGUGAUCCGGUGGUUCUGAAUGGAAGGGCCAUCGCUCAACGGAUAAAAGGUACUCCGGGGAUAACAGGCUGAUACCGCCCAAGAGUUCAUAUCGACGGCGGUGUUUGGCACCUCGAUGUCGGCUCAUCACAUCCUGGGGCUGAAGUAGGUCCCAAGGGUAUGGCUGUUCGCCAUUUAAAGUGGUACGCGAGCUGGGUUUAGAACGUCGUGAGACAGUUCGGUCCCUAUCUGCCGUGGGCGCUGGAAGACUGAGGGGGGCUGCUCCUAGUACGAGAGGACCGGAGUGGACGCAUCACUGGUGUUCGGGUUGUCAUGCCAAUGGCACUGCCCGGUAGCUAAAUGCGGAAAAGAUAAGUGCUGAAAGCAUCUAAGCACGAAACUUGCCCCGAGAUGAGUCUUCCCUGAGACUUUGAGUCUCCUGAAGGAACGUUAAAGACGAUGACGUUGAUAGGCCGGGUGUGUAAGCGCAGCGAUGCGUUGAGCUAACCGGUACUAAUGAACCGUGAGG